rnacentral:pre_miRNA from 1 species
AAAGUACUCCUCCGUCCCAAAAUUCUUGUCUUAGAUUUGUCUAGAUACGGAUGUAUCAAGUCACAUUUUAGUAUUAGAUACAUCCAUAUCUAGACAAAUCUAAGACAAGAAAUUUGGGACAGAGGGAGUAGUUG